GAAAAGUAAACAAGCACACUACAGUUGGGACACCUAGUAGUAGCUUAGUACAGUGGUAUUGAAGCAUUGGAUGGGAAACUAAGGACUAGGCAACAUGGUGAUUCAGUGUGCAUUUACAAAUUGUAAAAAUAAACCAAACAGAUGGGCACCACAAAGUUUUCCACAAAUGUCCAUUGCGAGAUCCAGAAAGGAGCCAACUGUGACUUCUUGCUGCUGGCUUGGACAUCAAGACACCGGCCGAGACUCUACUCAAGUGUCGAACGUGUAGUGAUCAUUUCAGACCAGACGACUUUGAAAAACCCCCGCAAUCUAAAGGACCACAAGUCACUGACAACGAAUCCGGUUCCAUCCGUCUUUCCAGAUGCACCAACAGCUACUGAUGAACAGUGUGGCUGAGGUGCAGCAGCUGGAUGACCAAGCAGAACAGGGCUCCAGCAUAGAGAUUCCCAACGUCGAGCGAACAUGUCCCUGUGCUGGUGACAUAACAGGGAGCCAGAUAAACCAUUGGCACCUUUUUGACAUCUUAAGAGACCUGGAGGCCAAACUGAAGAACACUGAAAAACAAUUAGAGGAUCUGAAGAGAGAGGUCUGAGGUAACGGUGUGGCAUUUGGAGCAUCUAUCGGCAAUGCUGGAAAUAUAGGACCUUAUAAUGUUGAGAUCACACUGACCUAGUAUAAUGUGUUUUCAAACACAGGCGCAUACAACCCUGCGACAGGUAUUUUCACUGCUCCAGUCAAAGGAAUCUAUUACUUCAGCUUCUCUGGCCAUAAUUUAUCAUCUAGACUAAUGGGGCUGCAUCUGAUGAAGAAUGGAGUGCAGAUGGUUCAUGUGGCCAACCACCCAGCUGGAAACCGCCAUGAGACCGCAACCAAUGGCAUGACUCUACAGCUUGAAGUGGGAGACCAGGUGUACAUGAGACUGGUGUCAAACACCUGGAUUUUUGAUAAUGGUAAUAACCACAGCACCUUCAUUGGUCAUUUGUUAUUCCCUCUGUAAGGGAAAGAGGAGAGUAGGUUGCUUUUUGACUUGAUGAACGUGAGUCUAAAUAUCCCUUUCGUUUUAACUCUGAAAUGGCCUGCAACAAUUCUAGAGAAAGAUAUCUGGCUCUUUAGCAGCUAGAUGCUCUUGACUGUGUUCACCAGCCACUCUGUUAUCUUCUCUGUUAGCUGAUUGGUGCUAAGCAGAUAGCGUAUAGUGGCUUUAUCAGAGCUUUAUUGUUACAAAAUGGUCUCCUAUACUGUAAGUGUUGAUAAUAGCAGCUCAGGAAAUUUAAAUCAAUGUAAAUAUAAAAAAUAACGCAGGUUAAGAAGAAUAC